AUUAAUAGUGUAACGUACGGCUAACGUUAUAACAUUUAGCAUUUGCAUAAACUUGAAGGAGAUCUGUGGAUAAGUUUUAUCCAGUAUACUAUGGUGUGAGACACUAUAAUGGCUGGCCGGAUUCCUCUGGUUGUGCUGGCCUGUGGCUCCUUCAACCCCAUUACCCACCAGCACAUACAGCUGUUCGAGCUGGCUAGAGACCACAUGCACCAGACGGCUGUUUGGACUCUCAUUAUGAUGGCACCCAUUCACUGCAGACAGAGGAUCCAUUGGUGGGCAAAUAAUGUGAUCAAUUUCUCCUGUAUCCGAUGGAGAAAAAAAACGAAUCAACAUCUUAGAUGACCUGAGGGUAGCACUACUACUGCAUAGCUGCUCAGUACCACAGCAGCAAGCACCUGCCCGCAGUCUCUGGUAAGCCACCUCUCAAUCUUUAUAAAUUGACACCAGAACCUCUCAUCACAGUUCGGUUUCCUCUGAACCUUAUCUCUGGCCCAACAAAGCCUUUUCUGUUUUUGCUAAUCACUUUAGAUAAGUCUGAUGCAUUUAAAACAGGCUGUUGUCUUUUCCCUGGCCAGCACAAGCGCUGUUAGGCCUCUUUUCAACAAUGCUUUUAUUUGGUGUUGCUGUAGAGGAGCAUGCUAAUGAAGCCUAAUACCCUCCACAGGAUGACUGAGCUUAAGACAAGCGUGCUCGGACUGUUAAUGAAGCUGAGAUUAAUAGCCAGGACAACUUUAUAACUAGACAAGUGCCAAGAAUGACAGAACACAUGCACACAAAUACCCUGUUAUCUCAAAACCUUUUAGAGAACUCCCUUAUUCAACGCCUGCUCCCCUUUGUUCUGUUGCUAUUCUUUCAUGUGUAAUGUCUUUUGUUUGGCUGUGGACUGAAGCAAGGCCAUAAUCAUGUUUUGAACACUGGGGGUGGGUCCAAUUAUUUAUUUUUUUAAACCUUUCAAAUAGAAAUUGUAUUUUUAUUUCAAGGAAUUACAUAACUAAAGGAUUUAAAUAAAUUCAAGGAAAUAUGUAUGAGUGAGUAAAGAGUAUGUAUGAAAUAUUAAUUUUAUAAAAUGUUACAAUUAAUAUUUUUUAUUAAAAAAUAUGGACAAUUUCACUCUAUUUGGUAUGACUAAUAUAUCAACAACACUAAAGGAAAAGCAUUUCUUGUCUCAUCACAUUACAUUUUUAAUUACACAAAUCACACAAAUGAUUUAGCCUAUAUUUUAAUAUGUCAAAUAUUACAUGUUCAGCUAAUAAAAUCUUACCUUGCACUUAUUAUGUUAAAAACUGAAGCGAUGCUGUGGAAUUCAUGUUUAGUAUAUGUGAACAGUGUGAACAAAAAAUUAACUUUUACAACUUUUUGUCUUUUUAACAACAAACAGUUAUGGCCUGGACUGAAAAUUGCAUAAAGAAACUCAUCAAAUUACAUUCAUCCUUCUGUUACAAUGAUAAAUAUACAUAUCAGUCAAAAUUAACCUAAAAGAUGUUUAAAAUCAUUGAUAUUUUUACAGAAAGAGAUCCUUUUAAUUUUAGAUUUCAUGUUGAAUUAUCUCAGGGAUUAUUUUUGAUUAAAUUGCUUUCAUGCAAACCCCAUUAUAGCCAAUUGAAAGAAAUCUGGCGCUUACUGAAUUAAGCCAUUUAUGAUUGUCUAGAAAUAUUAGUGUUUAUAUUGGAAUGUGCAUAAUUAUUUUCUUUACUGGUUUUUCCUGAAUGUAUUUGUUAUUAGAAUAAAUAUGAAGGGGGUGGUAUUUCCCCAUGCCCAUGCAGUGUGCACAUACAUUUCUUUAGAUCUAUUUUUAGUCACAUAAAGUAGAAAUAAAGAGCUUUGGUGGGCCGAUCGAGGUUCAUUUCCUGCCCCCUGCAAUUCACGCCUGCUCAAACAAAAGCCAGCUCUCAGACACAUGUUAUAGCAAGAGAAUUAGAGUUAAAAGCAUACUAUUGAUUCUUUCACAUCCUGUAAAUAACACUGCAGAGGUUGAGCCCUUAUAUUGCUAGCCAUGAAAUGAUUUCUAAUGAGGCGUUAAGGAAAGAAAAAUUGAGAUUUGAGAUGCAAGGGUUCAAGGAGUGUCAAACAUUUUGUUUAUGAGCCACCACAACAUAUUGAAAGAUGGGGAAAUUCAUUGAUAGCAUUGUUUUUUGGUUUGUAUUUGCAAAAAAAGUAAUAUGUAAAUCUGUUAACAGGCACCAAAUCUGUGUUCACUACAAUUUCCACUGUGCAGUUUCCAGUAUUGCAGGUUAUUUCAAGUUUUGUAGAAUGCAGAAUGUUAUCCUAAUUUGGAACCGCACAGCAUCACUGUUAUCUCUGCAGGAAAAAAAGAAGGAUUUGGACAUCUAUGCCACAAAUAAUAAUAAUAAUUAUAGAAAUGGAUUUGUACUGUCCAAAAAAAGGGGGCAUUUACUUAACAGUAAUGUAUAGUAUGGUUCAAAAGACUAUUUUGCUGGGAAACUCUGAGUUUUCGUUUUCAGAACAGCUAAACUCUGUUAGUUCUGUCGACUCUUGAGUUUGUUGACUGAGUUUAGCACGUGCACAAUGACAAUGAUAUGUCACGAUCAAUGGAGCUCCAAAAUUAUGAUUAUGAAAUUAUGAUUAUUAUGAUUCGCCAUGGCAACAGCAAUGACUUAUAUUUUGAAUGAUUGUUUCUGCAUGAUGAAAAUAUGCGCAGUGAAUGAAUACCUGCACUGCAAAAAAAUGAUUUUCUCAAAUUAAUUUUUUUUUAUAUUCAUGUUUCCAAUCAAAAUAUUCUUAAAUCGAGAUGAGUCUUAUACUCGUUUCCCCAGGAAACAUAACUAAAUACCUUAUACACUGUAAUUUUCAUCUGUAGAAAUUGCAUCUUAACGUAAAUAUUUUUAGAUAUAUGAUUUGGAAAUAAAACAAAAAUACUCAGUAAGAAAAGCUUUUUUGCAGGGUAAAUGAGUGAAUGAGGCGUUUAAACAUCACUUACGCUUUUAAAAGGGGGAGGAUGCCGAAAUAAACUAAAGAAAACCUGCUCCCAACCAGUGGUUCCUCAGAUGAAGCUGCUGUGUGGAGCAGAUUUCAUGGACACGUUUAAGGUGCCUGGUCUGGUGGGUCGAUUUGGACUAGUUUGUGUGAGCCGAGGUAGCCAGCAGCCAGACCAGGCUAUACAUGAGUCCGACUUAUUGUCCAGGCACCGGGGUAGCAUCUGUCUGGUUCGGGAGUGGGUCCACAAUGAGAUAAGUGCUACAGAGGUCCGACGAUCCCUACGGAGGGGCCAGAGUGUAAAAUAUCUCUUACCAGACUGAGUUAUUGAUUACAUAAGAGAGCACAACUUUAAGCACAAGACAGAACAAAGACGUUAAACUACGACCUCUUGUCAAGCAAACAAUACAAGACUGAUGCAUAAGAAAUAGCCUCCAGUGGUCUUAGUCAUAAGUAGUAGCAAAAUACGUAUCCAAAGAAUCACUUUUCAUAUAGAAGAUGCGAAAGCAGUUGUAGUGGAGUUGCAUAUUUUGUCUUGUGUAAAAUGAACGUUAUCCAUGACCAUGUUUUCCUAGUGUAAUGUGUGGAGAGGGAUUUAGGAAUUUAUCCCGUCUCUGCAGGAGUUAGAUUUUCCAGAUCACUGCAGAGCUGUAGGUCUAUGUUCGGCAGGCCUGAGAUUUGUUGACUUUUGCUGAAUGUCACAAGGAAGAUAAAUAACAGCCUUUACACUUUGGAUGGCAAACAUUGCUUCUUCCAUUUCCAUUUGCACAGAAAGCGUCAUUCAUGUUGUCAGAUCACUAAAGAUGUUUCAUUAAGCUUUGUCAGUUGGGCGGGAGGUUCAGACGAAAUAAAAUAGAAGAAUGUAGUUUGAGGCAGCGUUUUUUUUUUUUCUUGUACCACUGACUGUGAGUUUUGGCUGAACCCAGCUAGUUGCUAUAAGGGUGUUUUUUGAAGAGUUGAAGCCCUCCUGCUGACAGUCUUUGUGUGUGGAGUUUGGGCUUUAAAGAAGGCCUUUAUUCAUGCUGUCUUGAAAGAAAAGCCAGACGAAUUAAUUCAACACAACUAGUCCCACUCUUCUAGAUGGCCGCUGCUUUGCACAGAAGGGCCGUGUGUGCCAAUUCAAAGCAUCAGACACUUUUGACUGACAGAUGAAAGGAGUGACAAUGCAACUUGAUUUUAUAUCAAGCACAAAACCUACAGUACUUUUAUUUUAUUUGAAGAACAAAUAGACUUCAAAAUUAUGUAUUUUAUGUGAAUUAAUCUAAGAAGACAAUUGAAAUUGUUUUUUUUUCUACAUUAUAUUAAAGAAAUAAGCAUUAUGUGUAAGAGUAUUUUGUUAUUGAUAGCAUGUUGCUGCAUUAAAUGGGGUAAGUUGUCACAAUGGGACCUACCAUUAAACACUAUCACCUUUUCAGUGAAAUGAAAACAGUAAAACUAACAGUAAAACGUGGCUUAGUGGUUAGAGAGUUUGACUCCUAACCCUAGGGUUAUGGGUUCGAAUCUUGGGCUGGCAAUACCACGACUUAGGUGCCCUUGAGCAAGGAAUCGAACCCCCAACUGCUCGCUGAAUGC